AACCCCUGUGACAUACCUUAAUGUUGCCUCGGCGGAUCAGCCCGCGCCCCGUAAAACGGGACGGCCCGCCAGAGGACCCAAACUCUAAUGUUUCUUAUUGUAACUUCUGAGUAAAACAAACAAAUAAAUCAAAACUUUCAACAACGGAUCUCUUGGUUCUGGCAUCGAUGAAGAACGCAGCAAAAUGCGAUAAGUAAUGUGAAUUGCAGAAUUCAGUGAAUCAUCGAAUCUUUGAACGCACAUUGCGCCCGCUGGUAUUCCGGCGGGCAUGCCUGUUCGAGCGUCAUUUCAACCCUCAAGCCCCCGGGUUUGGUGUUGGGGAUCGGCUCUGCCCUUCUGGGCGGUGCCGCCCCCGAAAUACAUUGGCGGUCUCGCUGCAGCCUCCAUUGCGUAGUAGCUAACACCUCGCAACUGGAACGCGGCGCGGCCAUGCCGUAAAACCCCAACUUCUGAAUGUUGACCUCGGAUCAGGUAGGAAUACCCGCUGAACUUAAGCAUAUC
rnacentral:rRNA from 2 species